UACGUAGGGUGCGAGCGUUGUCCGGAAUUAUUGGGCGUAAAGGGCUCGUAGGCGGUUUGUCGCGUCGGGAGUGAAAACACCGGGCUUAACUCGGUGCUUGCUUUCGAUACGGGCAGACUAGAGGUAUGCAGGGGAGAACGGAAUUCCUGGUGUAGCGGUGAAAUGCGCAGAUAUCAGGAGGAACACCGGUGGCGAAGGCAGUGUUCUGGGCCAGUACUGACGCUGAGGAGCGAAAGCGUGGGGAGCAAACAGG
rnacentral:rRNA from 1 species